GACGAACGCUGGCGGCGUGCCUAAUACAUGCAAGUAGAACGCUGAAGAGAGGAGCUUGCUCUUCUUGGAUGAGUUGCGAACGGGUGAGUAACGCGUAGGUAACCUGCCUUGUAGCGGGGGAUAACUAUUGGAAACGAUAGCUAAUACCGCAUAACAAUGGAUGACACAUGUCAUUUAUUUGAAAGGGGCAAUUGCUCCACUACAAGAUGGACCUGCGUUGUAUUAGCUAGUAGGUGAGGUAAUGGCUCACCUAGGCGACGAUACAUAGCCGACCUGAGAGGGUGAUCGGCCACACUGGGACUGAGACACGGCCCAGACUCCUACGGGAGGCAGCAGUAGGGAAUCUUCGGCAAUGGGGGCAACCCUGACCGAGCAACGCCGCGUGAGUGAAGAAGGUUUUCGGAUCGAAAAGCUCUGUUGUAAGUCAAGAACGGGUGUGAGAGUGGAAAGUUCACACUGUGACGGUAGCUUACCAGAAAGGGACGGCUAACUACGUG
rnacentral:rRNA from 1 species